rnacentral:rRNA from 1 species
UCGGGUUGUAAAGCACUUUUGUCCGGAAAGAAAACUUCGGGGCUAAUACCUCUGGAGGAUGACGGUACCGGAAGAAUAAGCACCGGCUAACUACGUGCCAGCAGCGCGGUAAUCGUAGGGUGCGAGCGUUAAUCGGAAUUACUGGGCGUAAAGCGUGUGCAGGCGGUCUGUUAAGACAGAUGUGAAAUCCCCGGGCUUAACCUGGGAACUGCAUUUGUGACUGGCAGGCUAGAGUAUGGCAGAGGGGGGUAGAAUUCCACGUGUAGCAGUGAAAUGCGUAGAGAUGUGGAGGAAUACCGAUGGCGAAGGCAGCCCCCUGGGCCAAUACUGACGCUCAUGCACGAAAGCGUGGGGAGCAAACAGGAUUAGAUACCCUGGUAGUCCACGCCCUAAACGAUGUCAACUAGUUGUUGGGGAUUCAUUUCCUUAGUAACGUAGCUAACGCGUGAAGUUGACCGCCUGGGGAGUACGGUCGCAAGAUUAAAACUCAAAGGAAUUGACGGGGACCCGCACAAGCGGUGGAUGAAGGUGGAUUAAUUCGAUGCAACGCGAAAAACCUUACCUACCCUUGACAUGGUCGGAACCCUGGUG